UUACGUGAGGUGCAAGGCUUAUUCCGGAGUAUCGGGCGUAAUGCGCGGCCAGUGUUUCUCCUCAGUCUGAUGUGGAAGGCACCGGCUCACUCUGGAAGGUUCAUUGGAAACCUGGGAGACCUUGAGUGCAGAAAGAGGAAGGUGGAAUUCCAUGUGGUAGGCGGUUGAAAAUGCGGUAGAGAUAUUGGAGGAACACCAGUGGGCGAAAGGGCGACUUUUCUUGGUUCUGUAACUGACACUUAAGGCGCGAAAGGCUUGGGGGAGCAAACCAAGGAUUAGGAUUACCCUGGUUAGUUCCACGCCGUUAAACGAUGAGAUGCUUAAGUGUUAAGAGGGGUUUCCGGCCCUUUAAGUGGCUGAAAGUUUAACGCCUUUAAAGCACUCCCGCCCUGGGGAGUACGGCCGCAAAGGCUUGAAAACUCAAAGGAAUUGACGGGGGGCCCGGCACCAAGCCGGUGGAGCAUGUGGUUUAAUUUGAAGCAACGCGAAGAACCUUACCAGGUCUUUGACAUCCUCUUACAACCCCAGAGAUAGGGCUUUUCCUUUGGGAGCAGAGUGACAGGUGGUGCAUGGUUGUUGUCAGCUCGUGUCCUGAGAUGUUGGGUUAAGUCCCGCAACGAGCGCAACCCUUGAUCUUAGUUGCCAUCAUUUAGUUGGGCACUCUAAGGUGACUGCCGGUGACAAACCGGAGGAAGGUGGGGAUGACGUCAAAUCAUCAUGCCCCUUAUGACCUUGGCCACACACCUGCUACAAUGGACGGUACAAAGAGCUGCAAGACCGCGAGGUGGAGCUAAUCUCAUAAAACCGUUCUCAGUUCGGAUUGUAGGCUGCAACUUGCCUACAUGAAGCCGGAAUCGCUUGUAAUCGCGGAUCAGCAUGCCGCGGUGAAUACGUUCCCGGGCCUUGUACACACCGCCCGUCACACCACGAGAGUUUGUAACACCCGAAGUCGGUGGGGUAACCUUUUUGGAGCCAGCCGCCUAAGGUGACACCAAUUCA
rnacentral:rRNA from 1 species